rnacentral:rRNA from 1 species
UGGGGAAUAUUGGACAAUGGGGGAACCCUGAUCCAGCCAUGCCGCGUGUGUGAAGAAGGCCUUUUGGUUGUAAAGCACUUUAAGCGAGGAGGAGGCGCUCUAGGAUAAUACCCUAGAUGCGUGGACGUUACUCGCAGAAUAAGCACCGGCUAACUCUGUGCCAGCAGCCGCGGUAAUACAGAGGGUGCGAGCGUUAAUCGGAUUUACUGGGCGUAAAGCGCGCGUAGGUGGCUAAUUAAGUCAAAUGUGAAAUCCCCGAGCUUAACUUGGGAAUUGCAUUCGAUACUGGUUAGCUAGAGUAUGGGAGAGGAUGGUAGAAUUCCAGGUGUAGCGGUGAAAUGCGUAGAGAUCUGGAGGAAUACCGAUGGCGAAGGCAGCCAUCUGGCCUAAUACUGACACUGAGGUGCGAAAGCAUGGGGAGCAAACAGGAUUAGAUACCCUGGUAGUCCAUGCCGUAAACGAUGUCUACUAGCCGUUGGGGCCUUUGAGGCUUUAGUGGC